GGGUCAGUAGGUUGGUCGUGCCACCGGUACGUACUGGUCUCACUGAUUCCUCCUUCCUGAAGAACCGUAAUGCCAUUAAUUUGGUGUUGCGGGGAAACAGGACUGUUACUUUGAAAAAAUUAGGGUGUUUAAAGCAAGCUAACGCUUGAAUACGUUAGCAUGGAAUAAUGAAAUAGGACGAUCGAUCCUAUUUUGUUGGUUUCUAGGAUUGACGUA
rnacentral:rRNA from 1 species